rnacentral:rRNA from 1 species
AUUGAACGCUGGCGGCAGGCCUAACACAUGCAAGUCGAGCGAGCGGCGGACGGGUGAGUAAGGUCUGGGAAUCUGCCUGAAGGAGGGGGAUAACUACUGGAAACGGUAGCUAAUACCGCAUACCAUCAGAUGUGCCCAGAUGGGAUUAGCUCGGCGGUGGUGUAACGGCUCACCUAGGCGACGAUCCCUAGCUGGUGUGGGAGGAUGACCAGCCACACUGGAACUGAGACACGGUCCAGACUCCUACGGGAGUCAGCAGUGGGGAAUAUUGCACAAUGGGCGCAAGCCUGAUGCAGCCAUGCCGCGUGGGUGAAGAAGGCCUUCGGGUUGUAAAGCACUUUCAGCGGGGAGGCGUUACCCGCAGAAGAAGCACCGGCUAACUCCGUGCCAGCAGCCGCGGUAAUAC